AGCGGCGGACGGGUGAGUAACACGUGGGUAAUUUGCCCUUGGGUGUGGAAUAACUCAGGGAAACUUGAGCUAAUACCGCAUGACAUCCUCUUCGCACACGAGUUGAGGAUCAAAGCCGGGGACCCUUCGGGGCCUGGCGCCUGAGGAGAAGCCCGCGUCCGAUUAGCUAGUUGGUGAGGUAAUGGCUCACCAAGGCUACGAUCGGUAGCCGGCCUGAGAGGGCGGACGGCCACACUGGGACUGAGACACGGCCCAGACUCCUACGGGAGGCAGCAGUGGGGAAUUUUUGUCAAUGGGGGAAACCCUGAACAAGCAACGCCGCGUGGAGGACGAAGACCUUCGGGUUGUAAACUCCUGUCGGAGGGGACGAAAGCGGUUGAGGCUAAUAUCCUCGAUCGUUGACGGUACCCUACGAGGAAGCCCCGGCUAACUCCGUGCCAGCAGCCGCGGUAAUACGGGGGGGGCAAGCGUUGUUCGGAAUUACUGGGCGUAAAGGGCGCGUAGGCGAGCGGGCAAGUCUCUCGUGAAAUCCCACGGCUCAACCGUGGAACUGCGGGAGAUACUGCCUGUCUUGAGUCCGGGAGAGGAGGGUGGAAUUCCCAGUGUAGCGGUGAAAUGCGUAGAUAUUGGGAGGAACACCGGUGGCGAAGGCGGCCCUCUGGACCGGUACUGACGCUGAGGCGCGAAAGCUAGGGGAGCAAACGGGAUUAGAUACCCCGGUAGUCCUAGCCGUAAACGAUG
rnacentral:rRNA from 1 species